UCCCCGUUAUCCGAGGCAGUUUCCUAAGAGUUCCGUCCAUUAUAGACAUGGCAACAUAGGAUAAGGGUUGCGCUCGUUGCGGGACUUAACCCAACAUCUCACGACACGAGCUGACGACGGCCAUGCAGCACCUGUGUUCUGGCUCUCUUUCGAGCACUCCCCAAUCUCUCGGGGAUUCCUUCCAUGUCAAGGGUAGGUAAGGUUUUUCGCGUUGCAUCGAAUUAAUCCACAUCAUCCACCGCUUGUGCGGGUCCCCGUCAAUUCCUUUGAGUUUUAAUCUUGCGACCGUACUCCCCAGGCGGUCUACUUCACGCGUUAGCUGCGUUACCAAGUCAAUUAAGACCCGACAACUAGUAGACAUCGUUUAGGGCGUAGACUAC
rnacentral:misc_RNA from 1 species